CGUGUAGGCGGUCUCGCAAGUCGGAUGUGAAAGCCCUCGGCUUAACCGAGGAAGUGCGUUCGAUACUACGUGACUUGAGUACCGGAGAGGGUGGCGGAAUUCCCGGUGUAGAGGUGAAAUUCGUAGAUAUCGGGAGGAACACCAGUGGCGAAGGCGGCCACCUGGACGGCUACUGACGCUGAGACGCGAAAGCGUGGGGAGCAAACA
rnacentral:rRNA from 1 species